UCCUGAUAUAGGAGUCUUUUGCUUGUCCUAAAAGCACAGGUGAAUAAGGGGUGGGCAAGUCUGGUGUCAGCCGCCGCGGUAAUACCAGCACCUCGAGUGGUCAGGACGUUUAUUGGGCCUAAAGCAUCCGUAGCCGGCUCUGCAAGUCUUCGGUUAAAUCCACCUGCUCAACAGAUGGGCCGCUGGAGAUACUACAGAGCUAGGGAGUGGGAGAGGCAGACGGUAUUCAGUGGGUAGGGGUAAAAUCCUCUGAUCCAUUGAGGACCACCAGUGGCGAAGGCGGUCUGCCAGAACACGUUCGACGGUGAGGGAUGAAAGCUGGGGGAGCAAACCGGAUUAGAUACCCGGGUAGUCCCAGCUGUAAACGAUGCAAACUCGGUGAUGCAUUGGCUUAUGGCCAAUGCAGUGCCGCAGGGAAGCCGUUAAGUUUGCCGCCUGGGAAGUACGGACGCAAGUCUGAAACUUAAAGGAAUUGGCGGGGGAGCACCACAAGGGGUGAAGCCUGCGGUUCAAUUGGAUUCAACGCCGGAA
rnacentral:rRNA from 1 species